UACUCUAGAACAACCACCCACCAUUUGAACUUACCCUAAUGAAAAUUUUGCACGAGAAGCCAUGCAAUAAGUGACCCCCAAAAUUCUUGUGGUUCGAUAACUUUAUGAGUUUCGGGAUAAUUUGAGGGGGGCGUGUAUUUUGUGUGUUGAUCUCACUUGGAAUGACCCAAUGGCAUAUAUAAUUAUAAUUAUGAUGAUCGUUAUUAAUCUUGCUGCCUUCUCUGUAUUCAGUAUGCACUGCAUGGAAAUGUGUAGUCCUUAUAUUAAUCCCACGCUGAAAGUGCUGCUUUGUAUAAUUAUACUCUCUCCUUCACAAAAUGGUGUUGGUACAUGUACGUACGUCAUGUGAUUACAGUUGCUUAAUUAAGUUUCUUGGCAAUUUUGAGAGGCCGCUAAUAGCAAGAGUUCAUAAGUUCAUAAUAAAAGAGAGGGAGUAUCUAACGUAGCAUAACAUGUAUUUGGAAAGUAACGUAACUUCUUGCUUUGCUAUUUGCCUCGAGGCAGAAAAAAUGUAAUUGGCCAAAUCAUUAGUUGAUAACGCGUUUCAGACAGGGUGUAACGUUACACUCUGAAUACAUUUGAUGGAAGGUAACGAUAUGCUCGAUAUACUCUCUCUCUUUUAUUAUGGACUCUUGACAGAUUGUUGUCAGCUAGAGCUAGAGGAGGAAUGUUUGUGCUCAAACUUCAAAUUUUACUUUAAUGACCCCUUUACCUGUCAAUAUCAAUUGCAAUGUUGUUUGGGAGCAGAUCUUUACCAAAUACAUAUUAUGUUUUCAUACCUCCUAGAUUGAAUGAGAAGAAGUCCAGUCCUCUAGACAGUAUCAGAGGGCCUCCCUGGUUCCUAUACCAUCCACAGAGGUUGAGGAGAAGAGUGAAACCAUUCGAUGUCUAGAGGAUGACCUGCUGAGGGAGUUGGAGCAGAAGCUGCUCGAGAGGUCUCAAAUCAUGGACCUGGGUGUCGUGGCUGAGCUGGAGUGAGAAUUGGAACUGGCCAACAGCAAGGCAGUCUGCUGUGCAGCUAGGAGAGACGUGUGAUGGAGGAAGAGCUCAAGAAGGCACUGUGUAGACAUAUUCGAGUGCUACGAACAACAGUUUGAGGCGGAGUAAUGAAAUCAUACGCCUUCAAAAAGUGCAGAGAGUUCUUCCUGCGAGCAUCGACAGUGGACCCCCCGGACAGAAAGCUGGGUAUCGACGAGUAUUCUGACGUGACCCAGACCAUGCUCACCAAACUACAUCAGUCAGUGUCCAUGGAGAUAUGCUCCACCCACUCUGUUCAGGUUCGGAAAUGUUGUGUUUGAGAUCACAUCAGGCAGAUAGAGAAGGUGGAGCUGGUCCUCCAGGACCUCCUUCAGCUGCAAUACGAGGGCCUGGCAAUCAUGAAGAUGUUUAGAAGAUGUUUGGGAGGGCUAAAGUGAACGUUAAUUUGCUCAUCUUCCUCAUAAUUAUAUGAACAAAAGGCAUCAGAGCGUUAAAUUGGAUUUUCACUAGCAAAUUGCUUACAUGUGUUCAUUGACAAUUUACUGUGCAUGUGAGUAUCAUUAUUACCAAGGAAAAGCCCGUGUUAUGCCUCGAGGCGUAGCCGCACGAGGGAUACGGUAAAGCUGACUGUAUGUAUGUGUAUGUGUGUGUGUUUGUGUGUGUGUGUGUGUGUCUAUGUGUGUGUGUGUGUGUGUCUGUGUGUCUGUUAUUGUACAAGGAGAAGCCCUCGAGGAGUGGCCGCACGAGGGAUACGGUAAAGCUGACUGUGUGUGUCUGUUAUUGUUCAUUAUUACCAAGGAGAAGCCCUUGUUAUUGCUGUGCUAUUGACAAGUUGUAAUUAAUUAACAACAUUUCUUUUUAUAGUGUCUAACAUAAUUAU